rnacentral:rRNA from 1 species
AGAAUUUGAUCUUGGUUCAGGAUGAACGCUAGCGACAGGCUUAACACAUGCAAGUCGAGGGGCAGCAUAGAAGUAGCAAUACUUUGGUGGCGACCGGCGCACGGGUGAGUAACGCGUAUGCAACCUACCUAUCAGAGGGGAAUAACCCGGCGAAAGUCGGACUAAUACCGCAUAAAACAGGGGCACCGCAUGGUGAUAUUUGUUAAAGAAAUUCGCUGAUAGAUGGGCAUGCGUUCCAUUAGGUAGUUGGUGAGGUAACGGCCCACCAAGCCGACGAUGGAUAGGGGAACUGAGAGGUUGGUCCCCCACACUGGUACUGAGACACGGACCAGACUCCUACGGGAGGCAGCAGUGAGGAAUAUUGGUCAAUGGGCGGGAGCCUGAACCAGCCAAGUCGCGUGAAGGAAGAAGGAUCUAUGGUUCGUAAACUUCUUUUGCAGGGGAAUAAAGUGCAGGACGUGUCCUGUUUUGUAUGUACCCUGAGAAUAAGGAUCGGCUAACUCCGUGCCAGCAGCCGC